AUACGGAGGAUGCGAGCGUUAUCCGGAUUUAUUGGGUUUAAAGGGAGCGUAGGCGGGAGCUUAAGUCAGCGGUUAAAUGGUGCGGCUCAACCGUGCCCUGCCGUUGAAACUGGGUUUCUUGAGAGUGCAAGAGGCGGAUGGAAUUCAUGGUGGAGCGGUGAAAUGCUUAGAUAUCAUGAAGAACUCCGAUUGCGAAGGCAGUCCGCUGGGGCACGUCUGACGCUGAUGCUCGAAGGUGCGGGAAUCAAACAGGAUUAGAUACCCUGGUAGUCCGCACGGUAAACGAUGAUUACCCGCUGUCGGCGGCAGACAGUCGGCGGCCAAGCGAAAGCGAUAAGUAAUCCACCUGGGGAGUACGCCGGCAACGGUGAAACUCAAAGGAAUUGACGGGG
rnacentral:rRNA from 1 species